UUUGUUUCACACACAGUAAUGGGGAGGAAAGAGAAACUCCUGAUUUGUUUCUUCUUAAUGUCAGUUUAUCUGCUGACACCUGGAAAAUGUGGUCCUGUAAAUGCAGCUGCAGACUGGAGCGAUGGACAAGAUCCAGCAUUUAUGGCAAGGGAUUCCACAAAAGACAAAAGAGCCACAGAGGUAC